GCGUGUUUAGUGCCCAGGAACGCGCCGACUAAGUUGAUGCUAAGGACUCGCUCGAAGUCGGAUUUUUGGGAGUCGACGACGCUUGAUACUGCGUGGUCGACGGCUUUGCUAAUAUCAUCUUCAUUCGUGACAUCGCAAUGGAUGAAGGACGCAGCGGCGCCAAGAUCGCCGCAAACGGACUCUCCGAGCUCAUCUUGGACGUCGGCAAUGACUACUUUUGCACCGUGUCGGCAGAAGAGCCUUGCCGUGGACUCACCGAUGCCGCUGGCACCGCCGGUUAUCUGCGUAGAAUAUUGAUUGUCAAAGAAUAUUGGAUCAUUUGAUGUUGCCCCUUAAAGUUCUAGAAUCUGAAG